GACGUAACGCUGGGCGGCGUGCUUAACACGAUGCAAGUUGAGCGAGGGAUGGAUUUAGGAGGAGACAUAUGUUGAAUUGAAUCAUUCGAGCAGCGGACGGGUGAGUAAAGCACAAGGACUUGUCCGAAAGAGAGGGACACCUUCGGGAAACCGGAGCUAAUACCUCAUAAGCCGGAAGGUGAAAAGCAGAGAUGCGCUUUUGGAGAGACUUGUGUCCUAUCAGGCAGUUGGUGAGGUGAAAGCUCACCAAACCGAAGACGGGUAGCCGGACUGAGAGGUCGACCGGCCACAUUGGGACUGAGAUACGGCCCAG
rnacentral:rRNA from 1 species